GGGGUGGUAGCUCAGUUGGUCAGAGCGUAGUGCUUAUGACGCUAAGGUCGCGGGUUCGAGCCCCGUUCACCCUA
rnacentral:tRNA from 1 species